AUGUGGCUGCUUUAUAUCCCUGGAGGCCAGUUGAACUGUAUUAUAGUGAAUACUAUUUUCCUCUUCAAUUCCAGAACCAAUUAUUCACUUGAACAAAAGAAGAUGAAUUGUGUGGCAAGUAUAAUUUUCAGUAUUCCAGGGUUCUCCCCUUCAAAGCCAAGGCUCAGAUUGGUGCUGCGGCUGUGGGCAGAUGUAGCAGCCAUCCUGAGUGGGUAAUAAUGGUGAUGCU
rnacentral:lncRNA from 1 species